AAAGGAGGUGUAGCCACGUGUUACAAAACCUGGCAAGCACAGCUCUAGCAACUGCCUCUCUCUCUCUCUCUCUCUCUCCCUCCCUCUCUCUCUUUCUCAUCUCUCUCCCAAAUUUCAUUUAGCGCAACUGCAUCUCUCUCUCUCUCCCUAAUCUCUCUACAAUUUUAUUUAUUUUUUCAUAACCUAAUUUCACUUUUCUGUAUGUACAACCAUACAUAUAUAUACAACAUAUAUAGUGAUUAAUAGAUCUUUAGAUACGUCGAUUUUAUAUACGUAUUUAUACAAGUAGGUGCUCGAUUCAGAUUAGUGAGCUUUGGGAUUCGAGCUUAUAAUCCCAAUCUCUGCCUUUUCAGUUGUUUUUGAAAGCUUGAGCUGGAUUCUAUUAGUUUAAUUUGGUUUGAGUUGAUUAAUUAGGGUUUGAAUCUCGAGCGCUGUGUGGCAGUUUAGGAAGUGCUGUCUUUGGUAAGUUGAUAUUAAUUUGAUUUAUAUAUGGUGGUUAUUAGUGAAUCUAUGAGUGCAGAUGUCGGAAAUUAUGGACAUGGUAUGAUUGGGAUAAUGGAAUUUGGAGGGAUUACGGUAUGAUGUGUAAUAAGGGAGUUGAAUGUAUUAAGCAGUCGGAGGCUGAAGUUGUGUAUUCAAUGGACAGCCCUACAGCUACGAUGACUCCGGGCUCUCAUCGGAGUUCUAAUGAUGAGAAUCAGCGUGUGAAGUUUUUGUGUAGUUUUGGUGGGAGUAUAUUGCCGAGGCCGCAGGAUGGGAAGCUUAGGUAUGUGGGUGGGGAGACGCGGAUUGUGAGUGCGCCGAGGGAUAUUAGUUAUGAGGAUUUGAUGGGGAAGAUGAGGGAGCUUUUUGAAGGGGCGAUGGUGCUGAAGUAUCAGCAGCCUGAUGAGGAUCUUGACGCACUUGUAUCGGUUGUUAAUGAUGAUGAUGUGACUAACAUGAUGGAGGAAUAUGAUAAGUUGGUUUUUGGAAGUGGGUUUACUAGACUGAGAAUCUUUUUGUUUUCUGGUUUGGAUCAGGAUGGGUCUGUUCAUUUUGUUAAUGGGGAUGAGAUGGAUAAUGAGAGGAGGUAUGUAGACGCUUUAAACAGUUUGAAUGAUUCUCCUGACAUGAGGAGGCUGCACUAUAGCGAGUCCCAAGUAUUUGGUUCAUUGGAUGAUUACCAAUUAAAUGAACAGUACCUGAACCAAAUAAGUCAUGAGGGUAGCCUCCAUAACCACAGAAAUAAUGAGAUGCCCAUUCCCCCGCUCAAUUUGCGUCGUCUCAACAUUCCUCAGAUGGGUUCAGGACACCAAUCUAUCACCCAGAGGUACAACGACAUGGAGGCUCCAUGGAGUCCUGGAUAUUACUCCCCAGGGAAUCAAGAUCCAAGGCCAAUAAUGGAAGUUCCAGCCUCUCCUUCAUCCUCCCGUUAUUUUAUGCCAUACGGGGAGUUCCCAGACAGAACUUUUGACAGAAUGCCAGAGGAAUACAAUCGGCAGCAGCAAAAUCGUCAGCCCUCAACUCACCAACCUCAGUUGCAAGAAAAUGUAGUUUGGCUCCCCCCUGGAUCUGUCGCUGGUGACAGUCCUGGUUUUCCAGGAAACAUACUUCAGGGGCCGGGAAACGUACAUCAGGGGUUUGGUAUGUUUGAAGGAAAUAAAUGUGAGCAGUGCCGUACAACUUUCCUUAGAAAUCAAGCUCAUUAUGAUUCCCAUUUAAAACAUGGUGAACAACACAUGGAAAUGCCAAACAUGGUAAAUGGUUUUCAGCAGGUCCCUUGUGCUGAGUGUCCUCCCACACGGGAUACUCUCAUGUUAAAUACAGAAGCAAAGUUGCAUAGUCCAUUCUACCCAAGAGAGCAGAAUGAUCCUCGACCCCUCUGCACUGAUAGUAAUGAAAGAGCCCGGAUUUCUUUGCAUCAGCCGAAUUUAAGAGUUGAUGAACAAAGAUUACCUACAUCUGGAACUGCAAGAUUAAGCGAUCACUACAUAGUGGAUGGCAGUGGCAUGAAAUUUUCUGCUGGGCAUGGUAACUUUCCUGAAAGUCAGCAUGUAUCUUCACACUAUGCUCAUCCUGAAGAUCACUCUUGGUAUAUGCGACCUGGACAUGAAUUGGGGAAUGAGGUUUUCCCUGAUCAAACUGGGGUCACUGGAUCCUCUCACAUUCACAUACCCCUUGAUGAUCACGGGGUUCGGUAUGGGAAUCCACCUGUUGUUUAUGGAAUGGAGAAAUUUUACCAACAGCCACAUGGUCAUGUCCCUGAACACUCCAUUUGGAGAAAUCAUAAUGCCCCCUUGCAUUACCCUCCAAAAUAUGAAGUGGGCACUGUACCUCAGCAACCAGAUGGUAUUCCGGGGUUUUACAGGGGAACGUAUGACAGUAGCCCGAAUUUUCAGGUUGGGUUGGGAAAUCAGAAUCUUUUGGCUGACCCCUCAUUAACAGUGGGGGGUAUAGAUGGGUCUGCAGUUCUGGAAUAUCCUCAAGACCAUUCCUUCAAUUCAAUUGCUAUUCAAAAUACUCUGAACAACCAUGUGACAUCUGACAUGAUAAAUUCUACCCGUCUUCCAAAUACUGAGCCCUGUGCUGAUCUGGCGUCUACGUUGAUUGAUGGUAGAUUGGUCUCCCAAAUUGUUUCGACGUCAGAUUCAAAAUUGGAUUUAGAGAAGGAAGGAAAAUGUGCUAAUGGUGUUCUGAAGGAAACGAAUGGGACAGAAAAUUUUGAAGACUCUAAUAUGCCCUUUGUUUCUGGCCUACAACUAAAGGAUAAACCAGAUGCCAUAGCUUCUCGUGGGGCAGUCAACUUGAAUCGCUUAGGACCCGUUCAUAAAGGAAACGGUCCUGAGAAACCAAAAGGGCAUGAAACUCAUAGCAAUUUUCAAACUGAACAGCCUCCAGUUGACCAAUUAAAUUUUGUUCCUGAGUUGAUUGCAUCAGUGAAGAGAGUAGCAAUACAGAGUGCUGAGGAUGUAAAGCUUAAAGUUCAAGAAGGUGCUUUAUCUGCUGAUUUAAAUGAUGUGAUGGCAAAGGAAGCAUGUCAUAAUGAAAAAGAAGCAGCUGUGAAGGAAGAAAUUCAUAAUAAAUCAGAAGCAGUGGCCAAGGAAGAAAUUCAGAAUGAAUCCGAAGCAGUGGACUUAAACGGGAACUUGGACUUGGGUUCUAGUGGUGACAAUGUGGAUGAUACAAAGAUUGAGCCAACGAAGGCCGAGGCGGAAGCUUUUGCUAGGGGAUUGCAGACAAUAAGAAACGAUGAUCUGGAGGAGAUUCGAGAGUUAGGCUCUGGCACAUAUGGAUCUGUUUAUCACGGGAAGUGGAAAGGUUCAGAUGUGGCAAUAAAGAGAAUCAAAGCUAGCUGCUUUGCUGGGAGGCCAUCUGAAAGGGAGCGUCUGAUUGCUGAUUUCUGGAAAGAAGCUUUAAUAUUAGGUUCACUGCACCAUCCAAAUGUAGUUUCUUUCUAUGGUAUUGUUCGUGAUGGUCCUGAUGGUUCAUUAGCAACUGUAACUGAAUUUAUGGUGAAUGGGUCCUUGAAACAAUUUCUGCAGAAAAAGGACAGAACAAUUGAUCGUCGCAAAAGGCUCAUCAUAGCUAUGGAUGCUGCAUUUGGCAUGGAGUAUUUGCAUGAGAAGAACAUUGUGCAUUUUGAUCUAAAAUGUGAAAAUUUACUAGUAAAUAUGAGGGAUCCACAUCGACCAGUUUGUAAGAUUGGGGAUCUUGGGUUAUCAAAGGUAAAACAGCGAACUUUGGUUUCUGGUGGAGUUCGUGGAACUCUACCAUGGAUGGCCCCUGAGUUGCUUAGUGGAAAGAGCAACAUGGUAACAGAUAAGAUUGAUGUUUACUCCUUUGGGAUUGUCAUGUGGGAAUUGCUUACUGGUGAAGAACCUUAUGCAGAUAUUCAUUGUGCCUCUAUAAUUGGAGGAAUUGUGAAUGACUCUUUACGUCCACAAAUUCCAACAUGGUGUGAUCCUGAGUGGAAAGCUUUGAUGGAAAGUUGUUGGUCCUCUGAUCCUGCCCAGCGGCCAUCAUUUGCAGAAGUUGCUCAGAAGCUGAGAAAUAUGGCAGCAGCAAUAAAUGUCAAAUGAUAUCCGUCUUUGCUCAUUUUGCUGAAUGACGGUAGUGGGAUUUUGACGAAAGAGGCUAGUAAAAGAAGCAUAUAUUUGCAAAUUAAGUCGAUUACUGGCUUAUAACGUGUACAGAGGCUAGUAAUGCAUUAGUAUGCCCUUUUUCUUGCAUUUCCCUCUAUUGUUCACCCAUGAAAACAUGUUUUACUCUGUUAACUGCAACUUUAUGUGAUCUGGUGUGAUUACAAGGAAUAAAGACUGCUAUGCAGGUUAAGUUUCAUUAUAAUAGUGACGGUGCUGUUCCUCCUACUAUAGGUUUGCUGCUUUGAUUCUUCAGCACCUCGAGAAGGAACCCAAACCUGUCAUCUACAAGGAUAUUUAUAUAUAUAUGCACAAAUAUGGUACAUUUUGUCUGAAACUGGCCAAAACGUAUAUAUUUUUUAGUCCGAAUGUCGUCUAUAUUUAUCGUGAUGUCAGUGUAAAAUGACACUACAUACAAGUAUGUUGUCAAGCUGCUCAGUAUCAAUUACUGGACUUGAGCAUGUAUCUAUCCACACAACUGUUCUGUGGAACCUCGUUCUCUUUCCUUUUAAAUAGAGAACUAAUCGUUACCGUUCA